AUAGCUUUAGGGCUAGCCUCAAGGUGAGAGAUACGGAGGUAGAGCACUGAAUGUCCUAGGGGGUAUUGCACCUACCGAAGACUAUCAAACUCCGAAUGCCGUCAUCUUAUACUUGGGAGUCAGACUGUGGGUGAUAAGAUUCAUAGUCGAAAGGGCAACAGCCCAGAUCGUCAGCUAAGGUCCCUAAAUGUAAGUUCAGUGGUAAAGGGUUUGGGAUUGAACAGACAACCAGGAAGCUGGCUUAGACGCAGCCACUCAGUCAAAGAGUGCGUAACAGCUCCCUUGCCGAUUGAUCCUGCGCCGAAGAUGUCCGUGGACACAACUUACUACCGAAGCUUCGGCAACAGUAAGGAUGGGUAGGGG
rnacentral:rRNA from 1 species